CAGUGUCAGGGCUCAGAGACCAGCCUGACACAAUGUCAACACGAUGGAUUCUACAAACACGACUGCUAUCACUACGAGGACCUGGCGAUCAUUUGCAGCAGGCAACCAGAAAGUUUGCAUUUGGCGACACGUGACAGGGGUCGUGUGCAAAUACUGUUAGAGGGUGAGUGGUACACCGUGUGCAUCCCUGACGUCCACAUCGCUAGAGUCCUGUGCAGACAACUCGGUCAACCAUCGACCAUAUGUGGGCACAAAGCUAAUGUCCGGCC